rnacentral:rRNA from 1 species
UACGGAGGGUGCGAGCGUUGUCCGGAAUCACUGGGCGUAAAGGGCGCGUAGGCGGCGCGGGAAGUCCGUGGUGAAAGCCCGAGGCUCAACUUCGGGUCGGCCAUGGAUACUCCUGGGCUUGAGCACUGUAGAGGCAGGUGGAAUUCCGGGUGUAGCGGUGGAAUGCGUAGAGAUCCGGAAGAACACCGGUGGCGAAGGCGGCCUGCUGGGCAGUAGCCGGAAAGGCUUGAAAGCUGACGCUGAGGCGCGACAGCGUGGGGAGCAAACAGG